UCCCUGACAGUCCAGUGGUUAGGAUGCCACACUUCCACUGAGGGGGCCCAGGUUCAGUCCCUGGUUGGGGAA
rnacentral:tRNA from 1 species